GUCUUCUUGUUAUAUUUAGGAAGUCUGGCCUGCCCAGUGAAAAUAAUUUAACGGCCGCGGUAUACUGACCGUGCAAAGGUAGCAUAAUCAUUAGUCUUUUAAUAGAGGGCUGGUAUGAAGGGUUUAACGAGGUGUUGACUGUCUCAUUUAAUUUGACUUUAGAAUUUAAUUUUUUAGUUAAAAAGCUAAAAUACUAUUGGAAGACGAGAAGACCCUAUAGAGCUUUAUAUUUUUAAUAUUAAUUUAUUAUAGUGUAUUAUUAUUUAUUAUUAUUAUUAAGUAUUUUGUUGGGGUGACAAAAAUAUAUAAUUAACUUUUUCAUUUUUUUUACAUUGAUAUAUGAAUAUUAGAUCCAAUCUUAUUGAUUGUUAGAUUAAGUUACCUUAGGGAUAACAGCGUAAUCCCUCUCCAGAGUUCAUAUUUACAGAGGGGCUUGCGACCUCGAUGUUGGAUUAAGAUAAUAAUUAGGUGCAGCCGCUUAAUUAAUAGGUCUGUUCGACCUUUAAAUUCUU
rnacentral:rRNA from 1 species